AAGGAGGAGAGGAGAGUAUCUAGAGAGUUGUCUUGCCAGAUACAUGAUGAAGCGAAAAAGUUCUCUUAUCAGACUGGUGUUAAAGUCGCUGUUGCAUAUGGUGGAGCACCAAUGCACAAGCAGGGAUGCCAUUCAUGCUAGAGAUUUAGAACACCAGCAG